UACAGAGGGGGCAAGCGUUGUUCGGAAUUACUGGGCGUAAAGGGCGCGUAGGCGGCCUGUUAAGUCGAACGUGAAAUCCCCGGGCUCAACCCGGGAACUGCGUCCGAUACUGGCAGGCUUGAAUCCGGGAGAGGGAUGCGGAAUUCCAGGUGUAGCGGUGAAAUGCGUAGAUAUCUGGAGGAACACCUGCGGCGAAGGCGGGUUGCUGGGCUGACACUGACGCUGAAGUGCGAAAGCUAGGGGAGCGAACGGG
rnacentral:rRNA from 1 species